rnacentral:rRNA from 1 species
AUGAACGCUGGCGGCGUGCUUAACACAUGCAAGUCGAACGAUUAAAGCUCACUUCGGUGAGUGUAUAGAGUGGCGAACGGGUGAGUAGCACGUGGGAAACCUGCCCCUUUCUUCGGGAUAACUUCGGGAAACCGUUGCUAAUACCGGAUACUCCGGGAUGGUCGCAUGGCCGACCCGGGAAAGCUUUAUGUGGAAAGGGAUGGUCCCGCGGCCCAUUAGCUUGUUGGUGGGGGUAAUGGCCUACCAAGGC